ensembl:lncRNA
GUUGGGUAGAGGUCGCUAGGUGUUGGGUAGAGGUCGCUAGGUGUUGGGUAGAGGUCGCUAGGUGUUGGGUAGAGGUCGCUAGGUGUUGGGUUGAGGUCGCUAGGUGUUGGGUUGAGGUCGCUAGGUGUUGGGUUGAGGUCGCUAGGUGUCGGGUAGAUGUCGUUAGGUGUCGGGUAGAGGUCGCUAGGUGUCGCGUUGAGGUCGCUAGGUGUCGCGUUGAGGUCGCUAGGUGUCGGGUAGAGGUCGCUAGGUGUCGGGUAGAGGUCGCUAGGUGUCGGGUAGAGGUCGCUAGGUGUCGGGUAGAGGUCGCUAGGUGUCGGGUUGAGAUCGCUAGGUGUCGGGUUGAGGUCGCUAGGUGUCGGGUUGAGGACGCUAGGUGUUGGGGUGUUAUGUGGUUGAGUUUGUGAGCCUGUUCAUGUUAACAGAGUGUGUGAGCCUGUAGAUGUUGACAGAGUGUGUGUGUUGCAGGGCAGUGUGGGUACUGGGGUGCAGGUGGUCUCAUAACUGUGUGUGUUUGUGAGCCUGUUCAUGUUAACAGAGUGUGUGAGCCUGUUCAUGUUAACAGAGUGUGUGAGCCUGUAG